rnacentral:rRNA from 1 species
GGUCAAGUGAAGAAGCGCAUACGGUGGAUGCCUUGGCAGUCAGAGGCGAUGAAAGACGUGGUAGCCUGCGAAAAGCUUCGGGGAGUCGGCAAACAGACUUUGAUCCGGAGAUGUCUGAAUGGGGGAACCCAGCCAUCAUAAGAUGGUUAUCUUGUACUGAAUACAUAGGUGCAAGAGGCGAACCAGGGGAACUGAAACAUCUAAGUACCCUGAGGAAAAGAAAU